AUUGAACGCUGGCGGCAGGCUUAACACAUGCAAGUCGAGCGGGGUGAUGGUGCUUGCACUAUCACUUAGCGGCGGACGGGUGAGUAAUGCUUAGGAAUCUGCCUAUUAGUGGGGGACAACAUCUCGAAAGGGAUGCUAAUACCGCAUACGUCCUACGGGAGAAAGCAGGGGAUCACUUGUGACCUUGCGCUAAUAGAUGAGCCUAAGUCGGAUCAGCUAGUUGGUGGGGUAAAGGCCUACCAAGGCGACGAUCUGUAGCGGGUCUGAGAGGAUGAUCCGCCACACUGGGACUGAGACACGGCCCAGACUCCUACGGGAGGCAGCAGUGGGGAAUAUUGGACAAUGGGGGGAACCCUGAUCCAGCCAUGCCGCGUGUGUGAAGAAGGCCUUAUGGUUGUAAAGCACUUUAAGCGAGGAGGAGGCUCUUUUGGUUAAUACCCAUGAUGAGUGGACGUUACUCGCAGAAUAAGCACCGGCUAACUCCGUGCCAGCAGCCGCCGUAA
rnacentral:rRNA from 1 species